CAUAGGUUAAUGAGGCGAACCGGGGGAACUGAAACAUCUAAGUACCCCGAGGAAAAGAAAUCAACCGAGAUUCCCCCAGUAGCGGCGAGCGAACGGGGAGCAGCCCAGAGCCUGAAUCAGUGUGUGUGUUAGUGGAAGCGUCUGGAAAGGCGCGCGAUACAGGGUGACAGCCCCGUACACAAAAAUGCACAUGCUGUGAGCUCGAUGAGUAGGGCGGGACACGUGGUAUCCUGUCUGAAUAUGGGGGGACCAUCCUCCAAGGCUAAAUACUCCUGACUGACCGAUAGUGAACCAGUACCGUGAGGGAAAGGCGAAAAGAACCCCGGCGAGGGGAGUGAAAAAGAACCUGAAACCGUGUACGUACAAGCAGUGGGAGCACGCUUAGGCGUGUGACUGCGUACCUUUUGUAUAAUGGGUCAGCGACUUAUAUUCUGUAGCAAGGUUAACCGAAUAGGGGAGCCGAAGGGAAACCGAGUCUUAACUGGGCGUUAAGUUGCAGGGUAUAGACCCGAAACCCGGUGAUCUAGCCAUGGGCAGGUUGAAGGUUGGGUAACACUAACUGGAGGACCGAACCGACUAAUGUUGAAAAAUUAGCGGAUGACUUGUGGCUGGGGGUGAAAGGCCAAUCAAACCGGGAGAUAGCUGGUUCUCCCCGAAAGCUAUUUAGGUAGCGCCUCGUGAAUUCAUCUCCGGGGGUAGAGCACUGUUUCGGCAAGGGGGUCAUCCCGACUUACCAACCCGAUGCAAACUGCGAAUACCGGAGAAUGUUAUCACGGGAGACACACGGCGGGUGCUAACGUCCGUCGUGAAGAGGGAAACAACCCAGACCGCCAGCUAAGGUCCCAAAGUCAUGGUUAAGUGGGAAACGAUGUGGGAAGGCCCAGACAGCCAGGAUGUUGGCUUAGAAGCAGCCAUCAUUUAAAGAAAGCGUAAUAGCUCACUGGUCGAGUCGGCCUGCGCGGAAGAUGUAACGGGGCUAAACCAUGCACCGAAGCUGCGGCAGCGACGCUUAUGCGUUGUUGGGUAGGGGAGCGUUCUGUAAGCCUGUGAAGGUGUGCUGUGAGGCAUGCUGGAGGUAUCAGAAGUGCGAAUGCUGACAUAAGUAACGAUAAAGCGGGUGAAAAGCCCGCUCGCCGGAAGACCAAGGGUUCCUGUCCAACGUUAAUCGGGGCAGGGUGAGUCGACCCCUAAGGCGAGGCCGAAAGGCGUAGUCGAUGGGAAACAGGUUAAUAUUCCUGUACUUGGUGUUACUGCGAAGGGGGGACGGAGAAGGCUAUGUUGGCCGGGCGACGGUUGUCCCGGUUUAAGCGUGUAGGCUGGUUUUCCAGGCAAAUCCGGAAAAUCAAGGCUGAGGCGUGAUGACGAGGCACUACGGUGCUGAAGCAACAAAUGCCCUGCUUCCAGGAAAAGCCUCUAAGCAUCAGGUAACAUCAAAUCGUACCCCAAACCGACACAGGUGGUCAGGUAGAGAAUACCAAGGCGCUUGAGAGAACUCGGGUGAAGGAACUAGGCAAAAUGGUGCCGUAACUUCGGGAGAAGGCACGCUGAUAUGUAGGUGAAGUCCCUCGCGGAUGGAGCUGAAAUCAGUCGAAGAUACCAGCUGGCUGCAACUGUUUAUUAAAAACACAGCACUGUGCAAACACGAAAGUGGACGUAUACGGUGUGACGCCUGCCCGGUGCCGGAAGGUUAAUUGAUGGGGUCAGCGCAAGCGAAGCUCUUGAUCGAAGCCCCGGUAAACGGCGGCCGUAACUAUAACGGUCCUAAGGUAGCGAAAUUCCUUGUCGGGUAAGUUCCGACCUGCACGAAUGGCGUAAUGAUGGCCAGGCUGUCUCCACCCGAGACUCAGUGAAAUUGAACUCGCUGUGAAGAUGCAGUGUACCCGCGGCAAGACGGAAAGACCCCGUGAACCUUUACUAUAGCUUGACACUGAACAUUGAGCCUUGAUG
rnacentral:rRNA from 1 species